UAUCCGGAGGAGGAUAUAAAUGGGCGGUUCUGGCGACUCUCAGCAUCAGUCGACGUACAUCGUUCGAACUAUCAACAUGUAUAAGGUCAUCAUCUUCGCUUCCGUCAUGGCCGCCGUGGUCCUCUCCAGACCGAACGAUCCCUUCGCCCCUGGAUAUCCUGAUGCUCCUGCCGUUUACGAAUACAAGUACGGGGUCCAGGACGACUUGACCGGCAACGAUUUCGGACACGAGGAGGCCCGCGACGGCUACCUCACAAACGGCCAGUACUUCGUCCUGCUACCGGACGGCCGUAUCCAGACCGUACAGUACACCGUUAACGGAGACGAGGGCUACGUUGCAAACGUAGCCUAUUCGAAGAAACGAUAAGGAGGGUUUUAAAAGAAUAAAACGUCCCCUUCGCGCCGUUUCAGUUCUUCGACCAUUUGCCAAUCUGGACAUCUUGAAUUAUGACCUAGGGUUACCUCACGUUUGGAUGUGGCCUAAGGAAGCUUUCACUUACUCCCGUAAUUUAUAGAAAAUUUCCAGCGAAAGCUGUUAAAAGGAAAACAAUAACUUUCACGCAAAGUCUUCAGGAAGUGGAUAGUCAUUUGUUUCAAAUAAAAUAAUGGAUGACUUCCGUGUAACUGACACGCUAUUUUAUGUGACAGCCACUGCUUCUAAAAGUGUUAUUGAAAACCUCUUCUCAGUUAAAGUUCUUCGUUACCUUUUUAAUAAUACCCAAGGUAACUUCUAGAGUCCAAAGGACUGUAUACUUUUGGCCCCGUAACAUUAAAAUCCUACCAAUUUCUCCUUUGUAUCUUAUUUCAGGUGACGAAAAUUGCUUUCAGUAACAGCAAAAAAUGUAAUAAAAUAUUGUUUGCCA